rnacentral:rRNA from 1 species
UUGACCUCGGAUCAGGUAGGAAUACCCGCUGAACUUUAAGCAC